CUACGUGCCAGCAGCCGCGGUAAUACGGAGGGUGCGAGCGUUAAUCGGAAUUACUGGGCGUAAAGCGAGCGCAGACGGUUACUUAAGCAGGAUGUGAAAUCCCCGGGCUCAACCUGGGAACUGCGUUCUGAACUGGGUAGCUAGAGUAUGUCAGAGGGGGGUAGAAUUCCACGUGUAGCAGUGAAAUGCGUAGAGAUGUGGAGGAAUACCGAUGGCGAAGGCAGCCCCCUGGGAUAAUACUGACGUUCAUGCUCGAAAGCGUGGGUAGCAAACAGGAUUAGAUACCCUGGUAGUCCACGCCCUAAACGAUGUCGAUUAGCUGUUGGGCAGCUUGACUGCUUAGUAGCGUAGCUAACGCGUGAAAUCGACCGCCUGGGGAGUACGGUCGCAAGAUUAAAACUCAAAGGAAUUGACGGGGACCCGCACAAGCGGUGGAUGAUGUGGAUUAAUUCGAUGCAACGCGAAGAACCUUACCUGGUCUUGACAU
rnacentral:rRNA from 1 species